GGGGGGGGGCAAGGAGGUUGAUUAGACCUUAUUGAUUACAUUACAUUAUAAUGCUUGAAGAUAAUUUGGAAUGCAGGGUUUGAAUUAUUGCAUGUGAUUAUUAUCAAAUUCUAGGCUAGCAAGAGUAAUGCAACAACAACCGAUUGUAGUGAGGGAGACUUCUUUCGCUCAAACUCCCUCCCUCUCUCUUGUGUUCUGCCACACCCUUCUGAUUACUCUAUUGGGACCAGGUGAGACUUGAUUACUCCCUGGUCUAACUGCCCAUUAAAAGUAGCUGUGUGCAGCCAGCCACAGGCUUUCCUCAUCUGUCCUGUCUCCAUGUUUGAGAGAGAUCAUGUCACAAUAAGUUAUGCAUCUUAUCUGCCUCCUUUCUAGCUGUUACCUGUGGGCAUGUUAAGUUUCUCUCUGGCAUCUUCACAGGUGUUGUUUGCAGUAGGACUCAGCCCCAUCCCCCGACACCACGAGUGCUGCGUGUGUGUGUUGGAUCACAUGUGGGGCAAUUGUUUGGUCACUGUAACCUGUUGCCCAAGUCUGUCGUAGGAGCAAGGAGUAUGAUGUUGGUGUCCCAUAUGCACUAGUUCCGUUGUACUUCAGCAAAGGCGGAGCUCUGUUGCCACUGCUGUUUUUGUCCUGUAGUUAAUUUAGUUUUCAUACUUUUUUUUUUAGGUUUCUUUUUUUGCUUCUAUUCAUUUGUGAUAGUUGAUUUGGAUUAUUUUCUGUCUUAAGGCAGACUCAGUUGGCUCUACCCUGUCUCAUUGUAUGUGUAUAUUGAUUAUGUGAAGGCCCGUAACGUGAGGGAGCUAUUUUACUCUGUUUUGUACACCUUUAUUUUAUAAAUUGAUGUGGUUGUGUAGCCUAUAUAACCUGAGACUUGUGAUAUUGCUGGGUUUCUUUUCUGCCAGUUACGGGACGGUUGGGUUGUUAUAUACCUGUAGGUGUUUGGUCACUGGGUGGAGCUUUUCAGCUAUCCAGAUUUUUUUUUUUUUCUUUUAUCUGCUGUGGCCUUAAACGUGUGUGUGUGUGUGUGUGUGUGUGUCCCUCUGCAUGAAUAGUGGGACAUUCUCUAUUGCAUGUGUUUGCUGUGUGUAUUAACCCGUGUGCCUUUUUUGUUUCACAGUGCAUGUGUAAACUCCCUUCAUGCUCGUGGUGGUGGUUUCCUCCCCCCUUCACUCCCAUCCUCCUGUGGGUUUCCCUGGCACCCUUCCCCCUGUACUGGUAAUGAGCCUAGAAAUCUUAACAUUUUAGAGUCUAUUUUGUAAUAAAGAACCAUAUUUUUUUACUUAUAGCUUCUUUCCCCAAUAAGUUAAAUACUGGUGGAUUUAAAUAAAAGUGUUAUUUUGAAACUAGAAACUCAUGUCUCUGCUCCUUUUCUUCUCAAAGAACUUGUGCAUUGACUUAUUCAUUCUCUGGGUGAAAUUCCCAGAGUGGCCUGGUCACACAAUAGAUAACACAAACAUGUGAGGUCAUGUACUCUUCAAAU